UUGGAUUAUUUUUGUGGCCCUCCUCUGGAUGUGCUCCAAGAGUUUCAUGUCUCUCCUGUACUGAGUACUCCACAUCUGAAUGCAGAACAGAUGUAUAAGCAAAGUACAUUGUGGUUCGGAUUAAAUAAUUCAGCAUUUUGGCCGUGAUAUGGAAUUACAUUGCUGCUUUAGGUGUUGUUUUGAUGCUCAGAAGAUCACGGACUACUCAUUGUCUGCAUGGCUCACAGAGAGGCUUAUUUGAAUUCUGGGCUGUUUCUAUAACGUGCAUGCAUUUCAUUUGCCAUGGCAAACGAGGACUCUAAAACCAGAAGUAUAUGCAACCAUUGGCUGGACAUGAUGAAUUUUACAAGGAAUACAUCUGAAGAAACUCUAUCUCUGAAGUAUCUGUUAAAGCAAACAGCCUCAUGUGUCUCCUAUUAUCCAAUGGGAGAACUGGAGGAACAGAGAUGUGAAGCUGUCUGCUCAGAGCUAUAUAGGAGGCCAGUGACAAAUCCAGGAAUCCAAGCCAAGGCUCCUAUGUUGCAUUCUGAUUCUCUAAUCAGCACAGAAAUUUGCCUUCUGGCAUUGUGAUGAGAUAACGCACACAGGCUCAGACUGAGAAAAUGGGGCUUCCCAGCAAGAACACGGUGGUCUGAGGUUCGACAGUGUUGGGAGUCUGGAAAAAGAUGAACCCCCAGGCACAGCAGCAGUGGUUGUGUGAGAGGAGAAACAAACAUUCUCCUCGUGUCACUCAUGCCAGCAGUCUGAGCAGGAGGAAGGUACAGGAACACUCCUACAGAGAACCAGGACUGGUUUGUCUCUUUAGAAGGGAGCAAUGGUAUUUUGAACAUUUUUACCAAAUCCCAGAGUGUGCAACAGCAUUUUAUGGACUGGGAAUUAUAUAACUGAAAGACUGUGAGAUGGGAAAGAAUUAUAGGAAGCCAUGGAGAGCUGCAACCUAAGCAUCCUGAAAUCUGUGACCAAGCCCCAAGGAUGCUUCUUGUUACUGCAGCCAUCUCCAAUGAUUGCUGUUUUUUAUAUGAUUUACCAGCCCCAAUGAGCUCCCCAAGACAGAAUAGGGAAAGAUGGGCCUCAAGUUGCACCAGGGAAGAUUUAGGUUGGAUAUCAGGAAACACUUCUUUGCAGAAAGGGUUGUUAAGCACU